rnacentral:rRNA from 1 species
GAUGAACGCUGGCGGCGUGCUUAACACAUGCAAGUCGAGCGAACAGACGCGGCGUUUGCUCUACUGACGUUACCGACGGACGGGUGAGUAACACGUGGAUAACCUACCUCUACGACUGAGAUCACUUCGGCUAACCCUAGUUCAUACCAGAUACUAUAUUUAGCCUCAUGGUUGAAUAGUGUUUUCCGUUUUUGCUGUCCCCUCUACAUAUCUCCGCGCCGCAUUAGCAAGUUGGUAGGAUAACGGCUUCCCAAGGCGACGAUGCGUAGCCGACCUGAGAGGGGGAUGGGCCACACUGGAACUGAGACGCGGUCCAGGCUCCGACGGGAGGCAGAAGUAGGGAAUGUUCCGCAAUGGGCGAAAGCCUGACGGAGCAGCGCCGCGUGAGUGAUGAAGGUCUGCGGAUCGUAAAACGCUCUUAUUAGGGAAGAACAAAUGUGUAAGUAACUAAGCACGUCGUGACGGUACCUAAUCAGAAAGCCACGGCUAACUACGUG